rnacentral:lncRNA from 1 species
UACUAAAAACACAAAAUUAGCCGGGCGUGGUGGCGCAUGCCUGUAAUCCCAGCUACUCCAGAGGCUGAGGCAGGAGAAUCGCUUGAACCAGGAGGUAGAGGUUGCCGUGAGCCGAGAUCGUGCCAUUGCACUCUAGCCUGGGCAACAAGAGUGAAACUCCAUCUCAAAAAAAAAAAAAAGAUUCACAGAUUCUAUCUCAGACUCAUGAAUCAGAAUAUUCUCAAGGUCUGGCUGACCUCCACAACUUAAAUCACUGUUUUAUUCUUUAUCAUUCCCCACUAAAAUGUAAACUCCAUGAGAGCAGAAGCUUUUUCUGUUGUGUGGAGUGCUAUCCCUGCACCCCCUAUGUGUGGUUCAGGGUCUAGUUAAGAAAUAAGGCUGGGCACGGUGGCUCACAUCUGUAAUCCCAGCGCUUUGGGAGGCCGAAGCGGGCAGAUCACUUGAGGUCAGGAGUUCAAGACCAGCCUGGCCAACAUGGUGAAACCCCGUCUCUGGUAAAAAUACAAAAAUUAGCUGGACGUCGUGGCGGGCGCCUGUAAUUCCAGCUACCUGGGACGCUGAAGCAGGAGAAUCGCUUGAACCCGGGAGGCAGAGGUUGCAGCGAGCUGAGAUUGUGCCACUGCACUCCAGCCUGGGUGACAGAACAAGACUCUGUCUCAAAAAAAAAGGAAUAAGACUAGGUAUUUCAACUGGGCACACCAUGGUAACU